rnacentral:rRNA from 1 species
UGACGAGAAGACCCCGUCAAACUUUAAUUAUCAUAUAUAAAAGUGAAAAUAUAAAAUAUAAAUUAAUUUUAGUUGGGGCAACUGGGAGGGAUAAAAAUCUUUUAUUAAAUCAUUUAUAGUAAUAUUUAUAUUUAUGACCCAAAUUAGUUAAUUUUGAACUUAGAAU